rnacentral:lncRNA from 10 species
AAAGCUGGCCACAGCAACCAGCAGCAGCAACCAGCUGGGUUCCCCUUCCACCCCCUUGGAAGCUUUGUUCUUUUGCUCUUCACAACAAAUCUUGCUGCUGCUCACUCAUUGGGUCCCUACUACCUUUAUGAGCUGUAACACUCACCACGAGGGUCUGCGGCUUCAUUCCUGAAGUCAGCGAGACCACGAACCCACCAGGAGGAACAAACAACUCCGGACGUGCCACCUUUAAGAGCUGUAACACUCACUGCAAAGGUCUGUGGCUUCACUCCUGAAGUCGGCAAGACCAGGAACCCACCGGAAGGAAGAAACUCCAGACACAUUUGAACAUCUGAAGGAACAAACUCCCGACACACCAUCUUUAAGAACUGUAACGUGAGGGUCUGUGGCUUCAUUCUUAAAGUCAGUGAGACCAAGAACCCACCGGAAGGAACCAAUUCUGGACACGAUAUGACUACAAAAUGUUAGAAGGAGCAGUCCAGAAAAGGAAACAGCAUGUGCAAAAGCUCAACUGUGGGAAGGAACUCAGUGCAUUCAAGGAAGAAAAAGUAGACCAGUGAGUCUCAAAUAGAGUGAAUUCAGGGAAGAAGUGCAAGAAAUGAAGAUGGAGAGUCAAGACAGAUCCAGGUGGUGCAGGGCCUUGUAGCAAAUGAUGCAGAAGGCCAAAAGGGAAGCUGCGGUGCUUUUCAGGACAAAGCCUCGAAGUCACACAUCCUCACUUCUGUUGUUCCAACCAUGAUUCAAUGUGGCAAGGGGCUGACUACACAAGGCUGUGAACACCGGGAAGGAAAUAUCACUGAAGGACAAAUUGAUGGCUAGCUAACACAGUGUGUAUGUGUUUAAGACAAUAACUCUCUUUUUAAAAUGUAAUUGCAAUAUAACUUAAUAAGACUUUAAUAUCAUCAAAUAUAUACAUAUAGUUCACAUGUUCCCAAUUUUUUAAUGGUUUAUUCAGAUCAGAAUUAAAAUACAGUCAUGCAUUGCAAUCGGUUGAAAUGAUUAAGUCUCUUUUA